GGUGUGGAUAGGGGAGAAAUUCCAAUCGAACCCGGAGAUAGCUGGUUCUCCUCGAAAUAGCUUUAGGGCUAGCCUCGUUUUAGUCUUAUGGAGGUAGAGCACUGAAUUUCCGCGGGGGCGUCAAAGCUUACCAAAGAAUAUCAAACUCCGAAUGCCAUGUAGAUGAUGAACGGGAGUCAGACUGCACGAGAUAAGUUGGGCGGUCAAAAGGGAAAGAGCCCAGACCACCGGCUAAGGUCCCAAAGUGUGUGUUAAGUGGAAAAGGAUGUGGGAAUUCGAAGACAACUAGGAUGUUGGCUCAGAAGCAGCCAUACAUUCAAAGAGUGCGUAACAGCUCACUAGUCGAGAGUCCCUGCGCCGAAAAUGUCCGGGGCUGAAACACAACACCGAAGCCGUGGACUCCGUAAGGAGUGGUAGAGGAGCAUUCUUAAAACCGACGAAGCUGUACCGGUAAGGAGCAGUGGAGGGAUAAGAAGAGAGAAUGCCGGAAUGAGUAGCGAGAGGAAGGUGGGAAUCCUUCCGGCCGAAUAUCUAAGGUUUCCAGAGUAAAGCUGAUCUGCUCUGGGUAAGUCGGGGCCUAAGGAGAGGUCGCAAGACGUAUCCGAUGGACAACAGGUUUAGAUUCCUGUACCGCAUAUAAACAGAACUGUGGGGACGCAUGUGGAAAGCAUAAGCCGGGAAUGGAAAGACCGGUACAAGCGGGGUAGGUGUGUGACAGGCAAAUCCGUCACAUAAGCCGAAGACGUGAUGUGGAGCGAAAUUAAGUAGUGAAGUAUGUGAGCCAUGUGCCGAGAAAAGCCGCUAUUGUUUUAUAUGUGCCCGUACCGUAAACCGACACAGGUGGAUGAGGAGAGAAUCCUAAGGCCGACGGAAGAAGCAUUGUUAAGGAAUUCGGCAAAAUGACCCCGUAACUUCGGGAGAAGGGGUGCCCACUGAAUGGUGGGCCGCAGAGAAUAGGCUCAAGCAACUGUUUAGCAAAAACACAGGUCUAUGCGAAACCGAAAGGUGAAGUAUAUGGGCUGACGCCUGCCCGGUGCUGGAAGGUUAAGAGGAGAGGUUAGCUUCGGCGAAGCUUUGAAUUUAAGCCCCAGUAAACGGCGGCCGUAACUAUAACGGUCCUAAGGUAGCGAAAUUCCUUGUCGG
rnacentral:rRNA from 1 species